UACGUAGGGUCCGAGCGUUGUCCGGAAUUACUGGGCGUAAAGCGCGCGCAGGCGGCCCGCGAGGUGUCACGUGAAAGCCCCGGGCUCAACCCGGGAGGGUCGUGGCAAACCGGCGGGCUUGAGGCCGGUAGAGGUGGGUGGAACUCCUGGUGGAGUGGUGAAAUGCGUAGAGAUCCGGAAGAACACCGGUGGCGAAGGCGGUCUGCUGGGCAGUUGCUGACACUGAGGCGCGACAGCGUGGGGAGCAAACAGG
rnacentral:rRNA from 1 species